rnacentral:rRNA from 1 species
UAUUGGACAAUGGGGGGAACCCUGAUCCAGCGACGCCGCGUGAGUGAAGAAGUAUCUCGGUAUGUAAAGCUCUAUCAGCAGGGAAGAAGAAAUGACGGUACCUGACUAAGAAGCCCCGGCUAACUACGUGCCAGCAGCCGCGGUAAUACGUAGGGGGCAAGCGUUAUCCGGAUUUACUGGGUGUAAAGGGAGCGUAGACGGCCAGACAAGUCAGAAGUGAAAGCCCAGGGCUCAACUCUGGGUCUGCUUUUGAAACUACCGGGCUGGAGUGCCGGAGAGGUAGGCGGAAUUCCUAGUGUAGCGGUGAAAUGCGUAGAUAUUAGGAGGAACACCAGUGGCGAAGGCGGCCUACUGGACGGUGACUGACGCUGAGGCUCGAAAGCGUGGGGAGCAAACAGG